rnacentral:rRNA from 1 species
UCAAAUCAUCAUGCCCCUUAUGUCCCGGGCUACACACGUACUACAAUGGCGGUCAUACAACGGGCAGCGAACCCGCGAGGGGGAGCCAAUCCCUUAAAAGCCGCCUCAGUUCGGAUCGCAGGCUGCAACCCGCCUGCGUGAAGUCGGAAUUGCUAGUAAUCGCGGAUCAGCAUGCCGCGGUGAAUACGUUCCCGGGCCUU